rnacentral:rRNA from 1 species
AAUACAUGCAAGUCGAGCGAACAGAUAAGGAGCUUGCUCCUUUGACGUUAGCGGCGGACGGGUGAGUAACACGUGGAUAACCUACCUAUAAGACUGGGAUAACUUCGGGAAACCGGGAGCUAAUACCGGAUAACAUAUUGAACCGCAUGGUUCAAUAGUGAAAGGCGGCUUUGCUGUCACUUAUAGAUGGAUCCGCGCCGUAUUAGCUAGUUGGUAAGGUAACGGCUUACCAAGGCAACGAUACGUAGCCGACCUGAGAGGGUGAUCGGCCACACUGGAACUGAGACACGGUCCAGACUCCUACGGGAGGCAGCAGUAGGGAAUCUUCCGCAAUGGGCGAAAGCCUGACGGAGCAACGCCGCGUGAGUGAUGAAGGUCUUCGGAUCGUAAAACUCUGUUAUCAGGGAAGAACAAAUGUGUAAGUAACUGUGCACAUCUUGACGGUACCUGAUCAGAAAGCCACGGCUAACUACGUGCCAGCAGCCGCGGUAAUACGUAGGUGGCAAGCGUUAUCCGGAAUUAUUGGGCGUAAAGCGCGCGUAGGCGGUUUUUUAAGUCUGAUGUGAAAGCCCACGGCUCAACCGUGGAGGGUCAUUGGAAACUGGAAAACUUGAGUGCAGAAGAGGAAAGUGGAAUUCCAUGUGUAGCGGUGAAAUGCGCAGAGAUAUGGAGGAACACCAGUGGCGAAGGCGACUUUCUGGUCUGUAACUGACGCUGAUGUGCGAAAGCGUGGGGAUCAAACAGGAUUAGAUACCCUGGUAGUCCACGCCGUAAACGAUGAGUGCUAAGUGUUAGGGGGUUUCCGCCCCUUAGUGCUGCAGCUAACGCAUUAAGCAC